AGAGCCUUUCCGAGCCGCCAAGCUGGAGCUAGAACUGGAGCGCCGCGGGGCUGUGGCCCCGACGACUGGGCAGCGUCUCCUGCAGGACGCCGAGGUCCCAGCGACGCGCAGUGAGCUGGAGGCGGCCGGGCGCGGCGGCAGAACCCGGGGCGUGCUGCUCUGGCUCACCACGCUGGUCCUGUACGCCUCCUUCCUGGGGCUGGGAGUAAGCACUGCUAUCCUUGGGCCUACAUUCCAAGAUUUGGCGAGAAAUGUGAAUCGAAACAUCAGUGACCUUUCUAUCAUUUUCGUGGGCCGCGCCUCUGGAUUUUUAUGUGGCACUAUGAUUGGUGGCGUUCUCCUCGACUAUAUGAAUCCUUUUUUACUUUUGGGUGUGUCAAUGUUAAUUACUGCAGUUGGAUUUUAUCUCAUUCCUUUUUGCAAAAAGGCAUUUUUACUGAUUAUCAUGAUGGCUGUGUUUGGUGCUUCAAUUGGUGUUGUGGAUACAGGUGGGAACGUCCUCAUCUUGGAUCUCUGGGGGGACAAAGGAGCCCCACAUAUGCAGGCCUUGCACUUCAGUUUUGCCUUGGGUGCCUUUCUGGCUCCCCUGCUGGCUAAGUUGGCCUGGGGCACAACAGCAUCUGCUCAGAACCACACCGAGUCCGACCUUGACACUCUGAUGCUGAACCAAUCCUCCAACGCCACCACAGGCUCCGUGUUCGCGGUACCCGAUGACAUGAAUCUGCUGUGGGCAUAUGCUUCUAUCAGCACCUAUGUUUUAGUAGUUUCUGUCUUUCUGUUUGGUCUGUUUUGUAAGAAACAUUCAAGGCAGAAAAAACCCAGAGCAUCUACUGAGGGAGCUCGAAGGGCUAAAUAUCACAGGGCCCUGCUAUGCCUCCUCUUCCUCUUCUUCUUCUUUUAUGUGGGAGCUGAGAUAACAUACGGCUCUUACGUAUUCUCCUUCGCCACCACCCAUGUUGGCAUGGAAGAGAGUGAGGCAGCUGGCUUGAACUCCAUCUUCUGGGGAACCUUUGCAGCCUGCAGGGGCCUGGCUAUCUUCUUUGCAACACUCUUACAGCCUGGAACCAUGAUUGUGCUGAGCAACAUUGGCAGCCUGGUCUCAUGUUUCUUUCUGGUGCUUUUUGACAAGAGCCCUCUUUGUCUCUGGAUCGCGACUUCUGUGUAUGGAGCCUCAAUGGCAGCCACGUUUCCCAGCGGCAUCUCCUGGAUUGAGCAGUACACUACCUUAACUGGGAAAUCUGCAGCAUUCUUUGUAAUUGGCUCUGCCCUGGGAGAAAUGGCCAUUCCUGCAGUGAUCGGAAUUCUUCAGGGACACUACCCAGAUCUGCCAGUAGUUCUGUACACAUGUCUGGGCUCAGCCAUAUUCACAGCUGUUUUAUUUCCUGUGAUGUAUAAAUUAGCCACCUUACCCCUGCAAAGCUAGUGCAAAGGAAGGAAGAACAAGGACCAGAAAGGUUGCUCUCCAGCUCUGAACAACAUAAAUGGAAACAUUGCAGAAAAGUGGGAUGGAAUGGAUUCUGAAGUAGUUGAAAUGAAGAAUCAAGGCAUUCUGUAAUAGAGAACUCUAGAACUAUUCUGAUUUGAUACAGCCCACAACCAACACCUCUAAGGCAAUUCCCAAAUGCCUCUGUGUUUGAGCCCUCUCCAAUGAAUAGAGGCAACUCCCUUGUGAUACACCAGGAGAAAAUGGACAAAUAUUUGGGGAAGACAAAUUGUUUAAUAAAUGCAUAUUGCUACUCUCAAGGAAUCCAGGCCAGGUGGAGUCAUAGCAAUUUAUCAGCAAUUUCUAGAGAUAACUAGAAAGUUUCCACAUAUAACUGCUAAAAUGUUUUGCCUGCUCUGGAAUUUCCAGAGUCUUCUAUAAUGUACCAUGCUGUAAUGAACAUAUUAAAAAAUGCCUUUAGGCAUGCAAAACUUAGCUCAGUCAGGAUCCCCACUAUACCUAAGGCUGCAUCUGAUCACCAGAACCCAGUGACAUCACUCACUUAAGAUAAUCAGACACAGUCCUAGAACCCCAUGGCACGCACUGGACAGUAUAUAAGCAGAGACCAAGAGCAAGGCUCAUUCGGCACAUCUGGGGAGAUGUCACUGUGAUCUGCCCUGCAGCUGGGGUCCCCCUCCAGAUGCUGACCCUCAAGUCAGAGACUACUCUUAGAGACUGGACCUGACCUUCUGCUAAGAUUCACUGCACAGGUGAGCAGCCUGGGGGAGAUAGGAUUAGGACCAUAGUUAGGGACUUAGUGUGUGAACAUUGUAUAAAAAAAUCUCAGCAUAAUAAAAUAUAACUUCUGUUAUACU